ensembl:lncRNA
UCCCACUCCAGCCCAGGGAGAGGUGGGCUGGCGUUGAGGACCUAUUUGAGGCCACCCUGGUUCACCCUGGUCUCAGUGGCAGCCCCUCUCCUCAGCUUCUCCUACAGACCAGAUGCUUCUACUCUCUAGGGCUGCCUGGAGCUCACUGUGUUUAGCGGUGGUUGCCAUGGCAGCAGAGCUGACUCAGGACCAGGUGUCGUGGACCAGGAGAGAAGGGGAAAAUGUCACCUUCAGAUGUACAGACACUGACCAGUGUCCUGAUGAUUAUAUCUACUGGUACCAGAAGAAAGAGAGCGAAACCUUCACCCUGAUUCUCGGCAUUCACAAGAGUAAUGGUCGUCUUGAUAAAAGAUUCAAACAUCCUCAAAAGGAUGAUUUCUCAUCAGUCCUCAAAGAGAACAGCUGGGAGUUGUUUCUUCAGACGGUGAACGCGUCCCAUUCUGCCACCUACUACUGUUCCUGUUGGACUGGUCGUGUCACACAGUGAGACGUUCCCCUUCCUGCCCGUACAAAAACUCUGGUGAUCACAUGAUCCGGCAGGUCAUGUCUCAUUGGCUGUUCAAUCUACAGCCAGGCGCUAAUUUGAACUGGACGUGAACAGUAAGAUCUGUAUCAAUCCCUGUUAGAUCAGAGCCUGGACCUUACUGUCUGUAGUUUAGGCUUCAAUCCAAGCCUCUCCUAUACUGUGCAGAGCUAAUAUCAUCACUGAACUGGUUGUUGGUUAGGUCGAGGUGGAUCAAACUAAAGAGUAACAGACAGACAUCUGGAGGCUCGGACGGAAAUUAAAGACUUCAUGCUCACAC